GUCUACAGCCAUGCCACCCUGAACAAGCCUGAUGUCUGAUCUUGGAAGCUAAGCAGGGUCGGGCCUGGUUAGUACUUGGAUGGGAGACCACCUAGGAAGACCAGGUGCUGUAGGCA
rnacentral:rRNA from 1 species